CCACGCCGCCUCACGGCGCUGCCCUCCCUCAGGCGACUCCCGCUGCCCUCACCUCACGGCGCUGCCCUACCCCCCCCCCCCCCCCCCGCCUCACGACGUAGUUCACUCCCGGUCGGCGUCAAACUUGGCCGACAACCCUCCCCCGGUGCGCACCGGACCACGGCCUCUGUAUCCUUGAGUAAAGACACACCCAGCUACCUACUACAUUCCUUUCCAUGUGACAUGCCUAUUCAAGGCAAGGCUCUGAUAAUCUCAUUCAUGGUGACAUCUCAUCUACAUUAAUUAGACCACUUCAGUAAGACAGUGUGGCAUCUCAUGGCAGCAAAUUCAAUCUAUACUUCAGCAGAAAGCCAACCAAAUGGAUCAGAAGAAAUAAGGGCACUUGCAAAUGUACCCUUAGAUAAUGAGCAUCUAAUGGCUUAAAGAAACAAUACUACAUCUUGUCAUUUUUAAUCUAGAUCCAUCGCUGCUUUGUAUCAAAGCCCUACGUACAUUAACAUUUUUCUGAGAAAGCCUGCAUAGGUGAAGACAUACGUGGGAUGGCAAUUAUAAAAUAAAACUUUCAAGAUUCCCUGGAAAAAUCUCUUGCUUUCUGGCUAGCUGAAUAACAAUUACACAGUGCAGACCAGGAAGACCUCAAACAGUUCCUGCCUUCUGUUUGGGUAUGCACUAUGCAAAGAGACUUUAAGUGGUCAUUAACUACAUAUACUUGCUUCCAUAUCCUUCGGUGAAGAAGAGCCAUAUGUAAAAAGAAAAGAAGGCUUCUGUUCCUCCAAAAUGAAUAAUGGAAAACAAAGAAUACAAUGGAACAGAAAACAUGUCAUGUGAAAAUUUACUAUACAAAGGUAUACAUGUGCAUCAGACACACAUUCACACUUUAAAAAACAUAGUUUGUCAUGCAAAUUAAUAGGGUUUUUGUGCACUUCUGGCAAUUGGGUAUUGUUUAAUAGACUUUUUUGUAUAUUAUGCUCUUGCUAAUUUUUCUAUAUUAAUCUAAUCUUCAAAAGUCUACUUCUGGAAAGAUAUACUUCAGUAAAUAUAUUGUGUUUUUUAACAAAGGGGUCAAUGCUUAAGAUUCCGUUUUUCAUCUGCUUGCAUUUCACAGCUAUUUGUUCCUCAGGUAGCUAACCGCUUUUAGACUUUGGUUGGCACCUCAGAUUGCACACAAAGAAUAUCCUGUGUAGCCAGCUGUGAUGUGGUUUAUUUAAUACAAGGACCUGGUGUAUAUUUCAACUUUCACUGAAAUAGCUAUGUCAGCAUACCUCCCCAGCCAACAUCUCCAGGCCAGCAAAACCUCUAAUGUGGACACAGUCUGCUAGCAAAAAAAAAAAAAAAAAGAACUCCUGUCAGCUUAGUUCACAUUGUUUUAGAAGUUGAUGUAAUUUUACUGGCAAGAAAGCUAUGUGAACAUCAUUGGUAGAUGACUGCUCAGAUGUUCAUUUCAGAAACAGCAUUGCUAACCAAAAAAAUUGCACCAAUGUUUGUGUCUCAGAGGUUAUCCUCCUUAUGGCAAAGCCAGUGGAACGGGACAUACCCACACUGCUCAUCCACAUCAACACAAAGUCGGAUUACACUUACAUAGUUUGCAACAGUGAUUUGGGAAAAGUAGUGUCUAGUAGUGUCUAGCUGUAGUAUCUGGUUUGCAAACAGCUGAAGCCAUGUCAGAAGUGACUCCACUACAGCUGCUUGUUUCAACUUCUUUCCUGAGGUUAGCAUGCCCCCUCCCAGGAAGCAAGUGGAACAAAAUACAUAGGCACACCACAAUCAGUUUGUCUCAGGUAGCUUAAGCUGCUGAUGAAAAUGAGGUUUCCUAAUAUAGCUGAUGUUGCACAUAAAUUAAUUAGGAAACAAAUUCAUAUUUGUGCUGGUAGUGUUUAAAGGACAGAAAAACAGCUAGUCUUUGAGGCUUUCAGUUACUCGAGACAGAUUUGGAAGAUGAUUUUUGGCCAAGUUCUGCGGGAUGAAUAAGUCCUAAAAUAGUCAUAUAAAAUAAACUGGGACCUGAUCUGCUCUGGUGCUUCAGAAUAAAAGUGCAGAAUUGCAAAAAGAGGAAAAGAAGUUUCUUAAUACAGUAGGAUCUUAUUGGCAAGAGUUGUUCUGGAAUGGUUAUGUCAGUCUGGCUCCCUGCAUGAACACUGCUGACAAUACCAGAAUAAUUACCCAUCUAACAAGACUGAAAUACACAGGAGUAGCUACAGAGAUAAAAAUAUUCUGGAAUACCUCUGCAAACUUUAGCAGUAGGGUAGCAUAGAACAGUGCUGAGAUUCAUAUCAGCAUGAAGAGUACUUUUUCUAGCAUAACUAAUUUAACUGGCAGAAAGGUAGAGUUAGGUACCAUUUUCUUUUUUGUUAAUAAAAACUGCAUGUACAUGGAGAGGGUUUUCUUAUGUAGAUUUUGCCAGGAAACAAAAGUAAUAGUUUCAUUACAGUCAGAUUUGAUAUUUUGGGAGAGUCUUCCAGUUUGAAUUUCCUGUGUCCAAUACAGAGGGUGUAUGAUUUGCUCACACUCAGCAGGGCAGUUUGAAACAGAGCCUAAUUAUUCUGACAUCCUGCUACUGUUGUUAGUGUAAAACAUGCCAAUUAUCACCUAAUAAGUGUAUGUAUAGAUAAAAAUAAACAAAAAGGCAGUGUCAUAUAUUUCUUAACACAUCUUGAACACAUGCUGUUGGUUGUACUUGUUGCUUAGCGCUGUAUAUUUCACAUUUUCCCCUCUCUACAGGUCUACAUGACUUGUUCUGCAGAUUUCUGAAUUGCAAGAUCCUCUAUUUCUCCUAGAGAGUCAAGUCACAUUCAUGAUCAGUAUUCCCGGUUUUCAUCAUCUGUUUUCUUUUUGCCUAGAGAGUCAUCCUUGAUACUAACUUUUAACCUUUGUGGGAGAAUGAGCAGGGAUAAGAGGCAAAUUUUUGUUCUAGAAGUGUUAAAGUUGACCUGUCUAACCCCAAUAAUUUAAGAAGUGGUCCUGCCAUUGAGCACAUAGGUGGCAGCAAAACCAGCUAGCCAAGUAAAAGAAGUGCUUCUCUGCCAUGUCCCUUUUUGUUUAGCUGGACAGGGAAAACCCCCGGAGUGUGUGCUCAUACGCAGACCAGUGAGAGCCUUUAUUGUUUAGGUGGACAGAAAGAGGCAAACAUCUCCAUCCAUUAGCUGAGAAACCACAAAGUGAAGAUGUAGUCUGACAGAGAUGAAACUGCACAUUUUUUUUCUAAUGUCGAUACCUGGGAAGAGUGGAAAGCUUUCCUUCUUCUUUUGGUUUUACAAUUUUCAUGAGGAAGAUCUGAAAUAUUGGACCUUGUGCAGAAAGGUAUUAAAAUACUGAAAGGUGUGAUUAUAGAACUUACUCAAAAAGGAUGAAAAAGAAAACUUUGUAUGGUAAAAACAACCUACCCAGAAGUACUCAAAAUGCAUGCAUCCUUUUCAGGAUGUUUGUUGACUGAUUUAUAAAAGGUAUGUAUCUUGCUUUCUUGUGAAUUCUUGAUUGCAUCUACUAUGAAACUGUAUGCUAGACUUCUUCGUGACACGGGAUUUCACAACACAUCCCUAAAUUAGCCAUGGUUAGGAGGAAAUACCCUCAAUAUUCAGAUCACAUGAAGAAGCAAAGAUCACUGAAGAAAAUAUUAAUUUUUUUUAAGUGCCACAACCUCUAAUAAUUACAAAAUCAAGACAAAUGACGAAGUCUCACCUUUUUUAUGCGACAAAGUUUCUCAAAAGACCCCAAGUUAGCUUUAGUGGGGCUUGAACUCAAAGCACUGCAUGUCUUAUCUUAGAUAUAUUUGGCACAGUUCCAGUCACUUUAACCCCUCAGACUGCUUGCAGCCAUCUGCUACCUGGAUGCUGCUGUCCAAGAGGGCUCAGUUGGCAGCAAGGAACAUCUGAACACUGCAAGGUCUGGGUUCAUGCAAAGUUAGCCAACUUAAGGAGACCCGCUUCAUCAACACUGCAGGCUGAGAUGGCUGCCGCAGGUUCAGCACUUUCCACUUCAGACUGUCCAUCAGCAAAACGCAAAACUGCAGUCCCCGGCAGGAACUGAGAAGUAUUUGGGAAACUUGUGAAUUGUUAGAUCCGGAAAUUAGAAGUUACAUUUGGAUGUAGAAAAGCACAAACAAUGGUGAUUUAAAAGGCCACCCAUGUCAAAUCAUUAGCCAAUUGCUGAAAUUCAGAACAAAAAUGUUUAUAACGGGUUUUUUCUCCAUAAUAGUGCAAGUACCAGCUGCGGGAUUUCUCUAAAAUUAGGGCUUAUAUAGGGCUUCUGCUAAAGACAAACCUAACAGGACAGAAAUUUUUCCAUUAUCUUAUGGUAGAUCUAUAAAUACAGAAUGCUUAGAAGGCCUGGUAGAGAAGCUUCCUGACUUCUGCAGUUCUGAUAUUUUAAGUAUCUGUUAGGAACACUAGGAAUACGACUGUGAACGUUCACACACACAAGCACGCUAUGGAGUAAGAUAGAUUCCAUGAAGUGAAGUUCAGUUUUAAUCUGUUUACUCAAGUUUUCCUUUUGCCAAAAAAUAACGCUCUGACAGAGCAAGAGAUAGGGAAAGGAAAAGAAUAACAUCAGUAGAAGGUUGUUAGAUAUUUAAUGAUGGGGAAAAAAUGUCUUUUUGCAGCAUAUUUGUUCACUGUGGCUUGUAUCUUAGCCUGAAUAUUAUCUACAGUUUGGGACAAUCAGGAUGCCACUAGAGUGGGGUUCCUCUUAGAAACUUCAUUAAUUUGAUAGAUAGACUGAAGGAUUGCUUGUUCUUAGGUAUUUAGAGUAAAUUUUCAUGAAGAGUCUAGAAUAAGCAAGUCACAAAGCUGAUGAUCAUGGUAAUUCCUAAAAUGUAUUCUAGAAUUCUCUUACACAAUCACAGUAAAAACUGCACUUUUAUGCCUGUAAAAGCAGUCUGCUCACUACUCCGUCUUCAGUAGAACUUCUGGUCAUGUUUAAAACCCGCCACAUGUCAAAUAAAUCAAAACCCAGAACCCAAAGUGAAAGAAUAGUGUUUUCUAUUGAUACAAAUAAUCUGAUGGGUGAGUGAAACUUCAGAUUUCAAGAUACAACUGCAUUAAUCAAACUGCCACAAUCUAUACUUAUCUUGAAAACAAAAUCAGAAAGGGUAUUUAAAAAAAUAGAUUGUGCUGUAAUAUACCUGACCCUGAUCACAAAGCCGAGCAUAGAGUGACAGGAGACUUCCUUCCCUGUAUUUAGAUAAGAGAGAAACAGUGGAGCUUUACUCAUGGAAUUUUGCCAGGUUAUUCCUAAUCUUAGACUUCCUUUCCUACACACCAUCCAUUGUUAAUAUUACAGUCACAGUAUAGGAAACAGGCAUUCUUAUAAAAACUGGAACUGAAACAAAAUCACCAUUCAUACCUUUGAGUCUAUAUGUGGACAUGUUCCAUGAACAGCACUAAAUUUAAAACAGGUCUAAUACCUUUAACGUUAAAUUCAAAAUAUAAUGUUAAGACAAAAUCUUAGUUCAGUGGGUUUUGUGUUAAAUGAGAAUUGUAGGCCUAAUCCAAGGUUCAGAUACUGAUUGUAUUUAUAUAUGUAUAUAUAUAAACUAAUUCCAUAGCUGUUUAAAUGAAAACAUGUUUCCCCAUAUAAUUCAAGGAACAACUAAUUAGCCCAUUAAAGGGUGAAAAAGUAUUUAGUGUAGUACAUUAAAAGCUUGCAAGGAAAUGUGGCAGGGACAAGCAAAAGUACAAGAAA